rnacentral:SRP_RNA from 2 species
CGCCACGAUGUUGAGUGAGGCAUGCACUCACUCAACACAUAUCGUCUAUUCACGUGAUGUCUGACCAAGACCCGACUGGGUCCCAUGCGGCGAAAACUUCCGAACCGUGUCAGGUCCUGACGGAAGCAGCACUAAGGAAGACCUUUCGGGCGACGUGGGAGUGCCUGGUCAGGUCUUGGUCAGACGUCAUGUGGCG